UGGUGGUCUAUGUGAAGACGACCAUGGUUUUUUUUGUACUGCGAGUUCACUUCGUUUAGAAAGUUCUUCCAGUGACGAUGCUGAUAGACUUGCCAUCAAUGAAAUCUUUGAGGUGGCUUUUAAUGAAAUUGAAAGAGGAUCAUUGAUAUUGUUCCUGAAAGACAUUGAGAAAUCUGUGUCGGGGAACAGUGAUGUGUAUAUAACUUUGAAGAGCAAGCUGGAGAAUUUACCUGAGAAUAUUGUUGUUAUAGCCUCACAAACCCAGUUGGACAGCCGAAAGGAAAAAUCCCACCCUGGAGGUUUCUUGUUCACAAAGUUCGGCAGCAACCAGACAGCAUUGCUGGAUCUUGCGUUUCCGCUUAUACACGUAUGCAAAA